GAACGCUGGCGGUGUGCUUCACACAUGCAAGUCGAACGAGGUAGCAAUACCUAGUGGCGGACGGGUGAGUAACGCGUGGGAAUCUGCCUUUAGAUGGGGGAUAACGGGUCGAAAGACUCGCUAAUACCGCAUAUGACGAAAGUUGAAAGGAGUAAUCCGUCUAAAGAUGAGCCCGCGUCCGAUUAGCUAGUUGGUAGAGUAAAAGCCUACCAAGGCGACGAUCGGUAGCUGGUCUGAGAGGAUGAUCAGCCACAAUGGGACUGAGACACGGCCCAUACUCCUACGGGAGGCAGCAGUGGGGAAUUUUACGCAAUGGGCGAAAGCCUGACGUAGCGACACCGCGUGAGCGAAGAAGCCCCUUGGGGUGUAAAGCUCUGUCAGCUGGAACGAAAAAAAUGACGGUACCAGCAGAGGAAGCAUCGGCUAACUACGUG
rnacentral:rRNA from 1 species